CCUAGCAGGGACAAGGUCAAUUUCUCUUUGCUUUUUUUCUUCCAUUUCCUGUUCUUCCACUGUCAAAUUUAUAAGCUUUAAAUGACCAAAAUUAAAGGAAAGAGUUAAAGAAAAUGAGAGUGGUUUCUAUUUUUUGAAUCACAUUUUCUGCUUUCAUUGCCACAUGCCUAUAAAAGGAAUUAGAUAUAUAGUGGGUGUGAAGCACUUAUGUAAGGUGUGUAUAUAUAUAUGGUAGAUUUAUGUGUGUGAGGUAUGUGUGUGUGUAUUAUGUGUGUGAAUUAAAGAAAAUCAUGUACAGAAGUGCUUCAGAAAAUUGCGUAUAUCACUUGAGGCUCCAUACUUAGAAGCCCAAACACUAAGAUUUAGCUU
rnacentral:lncRNA from 1 species